GGGGUCGACUGGUUUUGACAGCGAGUGGCAUUGACAAGUAAGCAUGUCGAGCAUUGUAUUUUUGGCUCGUAAAUAUCAAGAAUACACACUUAUAAACGGCGAAAAUAAUUACGCUUUAGCUGCUUAAUCUGAAUCAUAGUAAGAUUUGCCUAGUUCCGACAAGGUCGGAAAGCUAGAUUUUCCUCAACAGCCUUGGUUUAUGGCGUUUGAUUUAGGAGAACCGUAAAAGUAGACCUAGAAAUGGUAAUGCUUUAAAUCCAUUUUGACACUGAUAAAGCUAAGCAAAAAGUGGCUGUUUUUGGUCUGGCUUUUUGUCGAAAAUUUAAUCAAAAACUAAACAUGUAGAAAGCUUAUUGAUGGCUUGUUUGGACGAGAGUUCGAUUCUCUCCGACUCCACCC
rnacentral:tmRNA from 1 species